rnacentral:sRNA from 1 species
GACAGACAUUCGUGGGGGACCCGUGAGCAUCACGUGCCAGCAUUUGUAAGACAAAAGACAGGUGCCCAACAAACCACCGUCUUCUUCACACAUACAUACCCACUCCCUUCCUCAUCCCUUCCUUUGUUGCAUGCACUUCUUCACCUUCUCACAUGACCUUGUUCUCACUUUUCACAGGUUCUUUGCAUGAAUUUCGAUCUUGGUAGGACCUUUUCUCCAUACCAAGCUCAUGUUACCCACAUCAAUCAUACUCUUGUUGGACAGAUGUAAUCGACCUUUCUCGAGCAACAUAUCCUGUUGGAAACAUCAGAAACCAGGCUCCUAACCAUUAAAAGAGGAAAGUAUUUUCAAUAUUUCUAAAUGAAG